rnacentral:rRNA from 1 species
GACCUACCCUGGCGGUGCGUUUAACCCAUGCAAGUCGAACGGUAAGGCCCAGCUUUCGUGGGGCGUUUGCGUGGUACUCGUGUGCGUACCGCGCGAGUAACUUGCCCUUGUCUCCCGUUUAACCUCCGGUAACUGGGGCUAAUACCGGAUUGGCGCUCCUGCUGCCCGGUGGGGCUUGGCACGCUUCGGCGGUUGGGGAUGGACUCGCGGCUUAUCAGCUUGUUGGUGGGGCAGUGGCUUACCAAGGCUUUGACGGGUAGCCGGCCUGAGAGGGUGACCGGCCACGUUGGGACUGAGGUACCGACCGGUCUCCUACUAGGAGCAACAGUAAAGGAUAUUGCACGAUGGGCGGAAGCCUGAUGCAGCGGCGUCACGUGCGGGAUAACUGCCUUCGGGUUGUAAACCGCUUUCGCCUGUGACGAAGCGAGAGUGACAGUAAUAGGUAAGGAAGCACCGGCUAACUACGUG